AAGGUCCAUAAUAUUUAUUUUUUUAAAAAUAAAGUCAAUAGAAAAAGUCACCUAAGAGGAUAACUGAUGAAAAAAAAAUUCAAAUAAAGUAAUCGGACGGAAGACCAACAAAAAAUCCAAAUGAAGUGCACCCAAAGGAACGAAUGAAAGAAAAGUAAUAUUUAUUAGACGCAAACUGAAUCGGACAUGGAUCUUGAAAAGAGGAUCAGGGACAUAAUAUGGUUUGAAAAAGUUAUUUUAUGGCAAAAAGUUUUAUGAUAAAUUUAAAAGGUAUUGUCAAAUACUAGAUAGCCUCACGUAUCUUUGUGGUUGGCAUUUUGUUUUCUAAACUUGAUGUCCAGGGUUUGAAUCCUUAAUGUUGCAGUUUUUGUUACGUGGAAUUUUUGAAGUUUUUCGCAGUGUGAGGUGACUGGAGUGGAGAUUUUCGGACUGUAACUGGAGUGGGCCGCAAGCAAGUGUGCGAGUGGGCUGUGAACAGUUAGGCUGAAGAUUUUUGGACUGCGACUAGAGUCGGCCGCAAGUGAGUGGGCUGCGGCCAGACAAAAGAAAAGCAAAAUUUUAUUUCUUUAUUUUAUAUAUAUAUAUAUAUGGUAAAUUUUUUCUACUCCCUAAGAGUAGUUACUCCUAUGUGUGUAUCUCUAGAUUUACGACAUAUAUGGUCCAACGAAGUAUAUGGAGACAUAGUAUAUGAUCAUACUAAAUCAUCUAGGGUAAUAUAUAUAUCAAGUAUGCAAGUAUACAUGAAGUAUAUGGUUAUACUUAUUUUAUAUAGUACUGCAGUGAUAUUUUAGUAAUAUAUUAAAAAGUAUGCUCUCUGUUGAAAAAAAUUCACAUACGAAGAUUUGAAGUAUCUUAAAUUAAGUAUAUAAACAUACUCAAACUGAUAAAUAAGUAUGAACACAUACGUAACAUGAUUUAUUGAAGAUGGGA
rnacentral:lncRNA from 1 species